UGUUGGGUAGGGGAGCGUUGUGUAAGCUGAAGAAGGUGGUUCGAGAGGGCUGCUGGAGGUAUCACAAGUGCGAAUGCUGACAUAAGUAACGAUAAAGCGGGUGAAAGGCCCGCUCGCCGGAAGACCAAGGUUUCCUGUCCAACGUUAAUCGGGGCAGGGUGAGUCGGCCCCUAAGGCGAGGCUGAGAAGCGUAGUCGAUGGGAAAUGGGUUAAUAUUCCCAUACUUGGAUAAACUGCGAUGUGGGGACGGAGCAGGUUAGGUUAGCGUACGGAUGGAAGAGUACGUUUAAGUUGGUAGGUGGGGUGUUUAGGCAAAUCCGGGCACCUGAUAACACUGAGAGAUGAUGACGAAGCUCUACGGAGCUGAAGUAACUGAUACCCAACUUCCAGGAAAAGCCACUAAGCGAGAGGUUUAUCUAAACCGUACUGGAAACCGACACAGGUGGUCAGGUAGAGAAUACUAAGGCGCUUGAGAGAACUCGGGUGAAGGAACUAGGCAAAAUAGCACCGUAACUUCGGGAGAAGGUGCGCUGGCGUAGUGUGAAGUUCUUCGCGAAUGGAGCAUGAACCAGUCGAAGCGACGAGCUGGCUGCAACUGUUUAAUAAAAACACAGCACUCUGCAAACACGAAAGUGGACGUAUAGGGUGUGAUGCCUGCCCGGUGCUGGAAGGUUAAUUGAUGGUGUCAUCGAAAGAGAAGCACCUGAUCGAAGCCCCAGUAAACGGCGGCCGUAACUAUAACGGUCCUAAGGUAGCGAAAUUCCUUGUCGGGUAAGUUCCGACCUGCACGAAUGGCAUAAUGAUGGCCAGGCUGUCUCCACCCGAGACUCAGUGAAAUUGAAAUCGCCGUGAAGAUGCGGUGUACCCGCGGCUAGACGGAAAGACCCCGUGAACCUUUACUAUAGCUUGACACUGAACCUUGAAUUUUAAUGUGUAGGAUAGGUGGGAGACUAAGAAGCGGUAACGCCAGUUAUCGUGGAGUCGGUGUUGAAAUACCACCCUUUAACGUUUGAUGUUCUAACGAGGCGCCUGGGACAGGUGUUCGGACAGUGUCUGGUGGGUAGUUUGACUGGGGCGGUCUCCUCCCAAAGCGUAACGGAGGAGCACGAAGGUUGGCUAAUGACGGUCGGACAUCGUCAGGUUAGUGCAAUGGUAGAAGCCAGCUUAACUGCGAGACGGACAAGUCGAGCAGGUACGAAAGUAGGUCAUAGUGAUCCGGUGGUUCUGAAUGGAAGGGCCAUCGCUCAACGGAUAAAAGGUACUCCGGGGAUAACAGGCUGAUACCGCCCAAGAGUUCAUAUCGACGGCGGUGUUUGGCACCUCGAUGUCGGCUCAUCACAUCCUGGGGCUGAAGUAGGUCCCAAGGGUAUGGCUGUUCGCCAUUUAAAGUGGUACGCGAGCUGGGUUUAGAACGUCGUGAGACAGUUCGGUCCCUAUCUGCCGUGGGCGUUGGAGGAUUGAGGGGGGUUGCUCCUAGUACGAGAGGACCGGAGUGAACGCACCGCUGGUGUUCCAGUUGUUUCGCCAGAAGCAUAGCUGGGUAGCUAAGUGCGGAAGAGAUAAGUGCUGAAAGCAUCUAAGCACGAAACUUGCCCCGAGAUGAGUUCUCCCAGUCUAAGAGACUGUAAGGGUUGUUGAAGACGACGACGUAGAUAGGUGGGGUGUGUAAGCGGUGUGAGCCGUUGAGCUAACCCAUACUAAUUGCCCGAGAGGCUUAACUAUACAACGCUGAAGGGUUUU
rnacentral:rRNA from 1 species